ACUGAACGCUGGCGGCAGGCUUAACACAUGCAAGUCGAGCGGGGAAGGGUAGCUUGCUACCUGACCUAGCGGCGGACGGGUGAGUAAUGCUUAGGAAUCUGCCUAUUAGUGGGGGACAACAUUCCGAAAGGAAUGCUAAUACCGCAUACGCCCUACGGGGGAAAGCAGGGGAUCUUCGGACCUUGCGCUAAUAGAUGAGCCUAAGUCAGAUUAGCUAGUUGGUGGGGUAAAGGCCUACCAAGGCGACGAUCUGUAGCGGGUCUGAGAGGAUGAUCCGCCACACUGGGACUGAGACACGGCCCAGACUCCUACGGGAGGCAGCAGUGGGGAAUAUUGGACAAUGGGCGAAAGCCUGAUCCAGCCAUGCCGCGUGUGUGAAGAAGGCCUUUUGGUUGUAAAGCACUUUAAGCGAGGAGGAGGCUACUUGGAUUAAUACUCUAGGAUAGUGGACGUUACUCGCAGAAUAAGCACCGGCUAACUCUGUGCCAGCCGCCGCAGUAACAC
rnacentral:rRNA from 1 species